AAUGAUGUUCAAAUAUGUAUGCUCAACUUUCUAAAGUUUUCAUUGUGCAUAUCCCAUUGCAUUAAAUAUGUUACAUGUUUGAUAUUUGGGAUAUUGCUCACACUGCCUCUUUCUUGUUGGAGAUGUCAAUGUCACUGCAAUGAGUAUGCAAUGACAAGCUGUAUGUGUAAUUUUGGUAUAGCAUUGAAUGCAAUUGGAUUGUUGCAAUAUCAGCUAGUUUGCAGCUGGCCUUAAGACACAUCUUGAUGUUAAAAAAUGAAAAAAAAUUAUUAAGUUAUAAUUGAGGAAAUAUGAUGAUGAUUAUUAUUUUUUUAAUAUAUUAAAAUGAUGGAUUAUUCAUUACGAUGAAAUAUAAAAAUAAAACUAUAAUACUGUAUGGCAACUGCUGUUUUAGAU
rnacentral:lncRNA from 1 species